ensembl:lncRNA
CCUCAGAUGGGUCUCAGGUGUACAUUUCGGGGGGUGGCACUUUGCAGGAGAGAGGCAGACGCAAGUCAGAACCGAGUCUGUAUUAGUUAUCUACUGCUGCAUAAAAAUUUGCUCUAAAACAUGUCCGUCUAAGACAACACUUAUUUUUCACCCAGUUUCUGCAGGUCAGGACUCUGGGAGCAGCCUCACUAUGCUGUUCUGGCUCAGGAUCUCCAAUGAAGCUGUGGUCAAGAUGUCGGCUGGGCUUAGUCAUCUGAAGGCUCGACUGGGGUGGAGGGUCUGCUCCCAAGAUGGCACACUCCAUGCCUGUUAGCUGGAGGCCUCAUCUCCUCCCAGUGUGAGCCUCUCCACUGGGCUGCUUGAGUGUCCUUGAGACAGGCCACUGCUUCCACCAGAGCAAGCAACCCAAGGGAAAGGGAGACAGAGGCCACAGUGGCCCUCAUACUCCAGCCUCCAGUGUGAUCUCCCACCAUUCCUCCUGGGUUCUGCUGGUUACACACAUAAUCUUGGUCCGUUCAGGAUGCUAUGACAAAAUACCACAAACUGGGUGGCUUAUCAACAACAGAAACCUGCUUCCCUCAGUUCUGGAGGCUGGGGAGUCCAAGAUCAAGGUGCCAGCAUGGUCACGUUCCCGUGAGGGCUCUCUGCUGCGUUCAUUGCUGACACCUCACUGUGUCCUCACAUGGUGGAAGGGGCAGAAGUCUCUGGAUGGAUCAGCUGAAACCUUCAAGAAACAGACAGCACCGGGACCGGAGUGGGAGGAGGGGGCAGCAGGCUGUGUAGCCGGCACGGAGCCAGUGGGUAAACUUCCUCCUUUCUGCCUCAAGCCUACAAGGCAGACUUUGACCCUUCUCGAGACUUCAUAAAGGAACAGCUGUCCACCAUUUCCGCCCUACCUCCUGUCAAGACACGCCCAGUGUGGACCAGGCCCCGCCGCCCCGCAGACGGAGAGGGGAGAGAGAUUCACUUCACGCCCAUUUCAAAGUGGACGCAUUCGCCUUAAACGACCUUAAGUUUAAAGGCAGUUUCUCACGUGGAACUGAGAGUGGCUGUUUAAAGAAGAGAUGGCAAUUAUGUUAUCAAAUUAUAGUGUGGAAAAUAAAACACAGGAAGCAUUUCGUGCUUAGACAGUGGAGUGUAGAAGAGUCAGGAGCCAGGUUCAAAUUCUGGCUCCACAUCCAAACAGAUCUGUGACUUAGAGCAAAGUACAUAAGCUCAAGGCCUCACCUGUGGAACAUGGAAGAUGAGGCCUACAUCGUUAGGAUAUUGUUUUCUGAGGAAGAUUGGCCCUGAGCUAACAUCUGUGCCAAUCUUCCUGACUUUUGUAUGUGGGUUGCCACAACAGCAUGGCUGAGGAGUGGUGUAGGUCCAUGCCCAGGAACCAAAGCCACGAACCCGGGCCACUGAAGCAGAAUGCGCUGAACUUAACCACUAUGCCACAGGGCUGGCCCUAAAGACGGUAACUUUUAAUACUACUGUGGGUAGCACAUAGGAGGUGCUGUAUAAACCAUAGUUACUUUUAUUAAAGUGAAUUGUUUUUUUCCAACAAAAGAUUUAUCAUUCCAGCUAUGGUCAGCCUUGGCUAGAAAUAUAACUUGUCUGCAUUUUUAGAUAGACACUUAUGAAUGGUGGGGUGUUUACCUAAGAGUACAGGCUGCAUUCGUAGUUACACUGUGCUUCCAUGGGGUGGGGGGAGCAGCUUCAGAGCUGGCGGGUGCCAUGAAUGUUCCCAAGUUGGAGAAACACACAGAAAGAACCAAGGGUGGUUAAAAAUACUAUAAUCUUCUCUUAGAGUGAUGGCAAGAUGGGGGAACAUGUGGAUAAGAAUGGUGUACGCGUUGGGGGGUGUGGACAUGGAGCAAACCAAAGUUCGAGUGGAGGAGUGAAUGGACCAAUGGAUUUGAAGGUACUUUGAAAAGUGUAUGUGCCAUGUGCAUUAUCGUCAGGGGCCCGCCGCCAGUUCUCAGCGUGUUAGUGGCAGAAGAAGGGAAAACGGAACACAGGGUUCCUAAAGCCCAGCCAGAUGCUGUCUCCCGCACCAUGCCGUCCUGGAACGUGGAUGCCACCCCUCUCUUCUGACAUUUCAUGGUUGUUUAGAGUUAGCUGUAGCGCAGCCCGCAUAUGUCUAGUGCCUGGUGGGAGAACGUGAAUUAAUUAAAGUCUCCUCAUGCUUUUAUUCACCAGCUUCUCUAGGAUUUUUGUUGUAAGGCCAAGUUAUCAGAGACACCACGGCUUUCCUCGGCGGCCCGCCAGCACGGGGGAAGGAAGACACUCAGCCCUUAGGAGAGAAGUUCAAGAGGUUAGAGCUUCUGGGGACAGGAACAGCCCAGCCUGAGAGCUUUGAGCACCUUUCCCCUGAAGAAGGACAGAGUGUGUGUGUGUGUGUGUGUGUGUGUGUGUGUGUGUGUCCGGGGUGUUCAGUCAACCAAAAGGAAUCCUGCAUAGCUUGACCUUUGCUGUAUAUGUGGAAUGGAGCAGCCUUUUUUUCCUUCUUUUUUUUAGAUAGAGUGACUGUAAAGAUGGUAAAGAAAAUUACAAGCUUCCUGAAAAAGAAGGAUUGGAAAUUAGUCUCGAAACUGCUUUGCAAUUAUGUCUGUAUAUUUUAGAUGUUUUGGCUUAAACUAAAGGUAGUAAAAAUA